GACGAACGCUGGCGGCGUGCUUAACACAUGCAAGUCGAACGGAAAGGCCCUGCUUUUGUGGGGUGCUCGAGUGGCGAACGGGUGAGUAACACGUGAGUAAACUGCCCUUGACUUUGGGAUAACUUCAGGAAACUGGGGCUAAUACCGGAUAGGAGCUCCUGCUGCAUGGUGGGGGUUGGAAAGUUUCGGCGGUUGGGGAUGGACUCGCGGCUUAUCAGCUUGUUGGUGGGGUAGUGGCUUACCAAGGCUGUGACGGGUAGCCGGCCUGAGAGGGUGACCGGCCACAUUGGGACUGAGAUACGGCCCAGACUCCUACGGGAGGCAGCAGUGGGGAAUAUUGCACAAUGGGCGGAAGCCUGAUGCAGCAACGCCGCGUGCGGGAUGACGGCCUUCGGGUUGUAAACCGCUUUCGCCUGUGACGAAGCGUGAGUGACGGUAAUGGGUAAAGAAGCACCGGCUAACUACGU
rnacentral:rRNA from 1 species